rnacentral:rRNA from 1 species
UACGUAGGGGGCUAGCGUUGUCCGGAAUCAUUGGGCGUAAAGCGCGCGUAGGCGGCCCGGUAAGUCCGCUGUAAAAGUCAAAGGCUCAACCUUUGAAUGUCAGUGGAUACUGCCGGGCUAGAGUCCGGAAGAGGCGAGUGGAAUUCCUGGUGUAGCGGUGGAAUGCGUAGAGAUCCGGAAGAACACCGGUGGCGAAGGCGGCCUGCUGGGCAGUGGCUGACACUGAGGCGCGACAGCGUGGGGAGCAAACAGG